rnacentral:rRNA from 1 species
AACGCGAAGAACCUUACCCAGACUUGACAUACAGGUGACCGCUCUAGAAAUAGGGCUUUCCUUCGGGACAGCUGUACAGGUGCUGCAUGGCUGUCGUCAGCUCGUGCCGUGAGGUGUUUGGUUAAGUCCAGCAACGAGCGCAACCCUUAUCAUUAGUUGCCAACACGUGAAGGUGGGAACUCUAAUGAGACUGCCUGGGUUAACCAGGAGGAAGGUGAGGAUGACGUCAAGUCCGCAUGGCCCUUAUGUCUGGGGCUACACACGUGCUACAAUGGUCGGUACAGAAGGCAGCGAAGCCGCGAGGUGAAGCAAAUCCCAAAAAGCCGACCUCAGUUCAGAUUGUAGUCUGCAACUCGACUACAUGAAGACGGAAUUGCUAGUAAUGGCGAGUCAGCAACAUCGCCGUGAAUACGUUCCCGGGCCUUGUACACACCGGUAUCUC